AGCGAACGCUGGCGGCAGGCCUAACACAUGCAAGUCGAACGAACCUUUCGGGGUUAGUGGCGGGCGGGUGAGUAACACGUGGGAACGUGCCUUUAGGUUCGGAAUAACUCAGGGAAACUUGUGCUAAUACCGAACGUGCCCUUCGGGGGAAAGAUUUAUCGCCUUUAGAGCGGCCCGCGUCUGAUUAGCUAGUUGGUUGAGGUAAUGGCUCACCAAGGCGACGAUCAGUAGCUGGUCUGAGAGGAUGAUCAGCCACAUUGGGACUGAGACACGGCCCAAACUCCUACGGGAGGCAGCAGUGGGGAAUCUUGCGCAAUGGGCGAAAGCCUGACGCAGCCAUGCCGCGUGAAUGAUGAAGGUCUUAGGAUUGUAAAAUUCUUUCACCGGGGACGAUAAUGACGGUACCCGGAGAAGAAGCCCCGGCUAACUUCGUG
rnacentral:rRNA from 1 species